rnacentral:rRNA from 1 species
GGGGAUAACCUGGGGAAACCCAGGCUAAUACCGCAUACGUCCUACGGGAGAAAGGGGGCUUCGGCUCCCGCUAUCGGAUGAGCCUAUGCCGGAUUAGCUGGUUGGUGAGGUAAUGGCUCACCAAGGCGACGAUCCGUAGCUGGUCUGAGAGGACGAUCAGCCACAUCGGGACUGAGACACGGCCCGA